GGGCCCGCACAAGCGGUGGAGCAUGUGGUUUAAUUCGAUGCAACGCGAAGAACCUUACCUACACUUGACAUGCUGAGAAGUUACUAGAGAUAGUUUCGUGCCUUCGGGAACUAUGAGACAGGUGCUGCAUGGCUGUCGUCAGCUCGUGUUGUGAAAUGUUGGGUUAAGUCCCGCAACGAGCGCAACCCUUAUCCUUGUUUGCCAGCACUUCGGGUGGGAACUCCAGGGAGACUGCCGGUGAUAAACCGGAGGAAGGUGGGGACGACGUCAAGUCAUCAUGGCCCUUACGAGUAGGGCUACACACGUGCUACAAUGGCGCAUACAGAGGGCGGCCAACUUGCGAAAGUGAG
rnacentral:rRNA from 1 species